rnacentral:rRNA from 1 species
GAUGAACGCUGACAGAAUGCUUAACACAUGCAAGUCUUUGGCGAAGCUGUGCUUGCACAGCCUAGCCAAGGCGGACGGGUGAGUAACGCGUAAGGAACUUGCCCUGCAGUCAGGGAUAACAGACGGAAACGACUGAUAAGACCUGGUAAAGUCAGGCGGACUCAUGUCCAGCCUGAUGAAAAGAGAUGCUGCAGGAGAGCCUUGCGUCCUAUUAGCUUGUUGGUGGGGUAACGGCCCACCAAGGCGAUGAUAGGUAGCCGGCCUGAGAGGGUGGACGGCCAAAAGGGGAAUGAGAUACGGCCCUUACUCAUACGGGAGGCAGCAGUGGGGAAUAUUGGACAAUGGGGGCAACCCUGAUCCAGCAAUUCUGUGUGCACGAUGAAGGUUUUCGGAUUGUAAAGUGCUUUCAGAAGGGAAGAAAAAAAUGACGGUACCUGCAGAAGAAGCGACGGCUAAAUACGUG